rnacentral:snoRNA from 1 species
AUCCAUCCAGUCCCUUUCCCAAGGGAUCAAAUCACUGGUCUGGGUGGUCGUAAAAGGAGGACACAUUGAAGCUGGCCCUCAGUGCUCUUGGAACUCGAGCUAAUCUCAAACAGAG